rnacentral:rRNA from 1 species
UACGUAGGGUGCAAGCGUUGUCCGGAAUUAUUGGGCGUAAAGAGCUCGUAGGCGGUUUGUCGCGUCUGCUGUGAAAACCCGGAGCUCAACUCCGGGCCUGCAGUCGAUACGGGCAGACUGGAGUUCGGCAGGGGAGACUGGAAUUCCUGGUGUAGCGGUGAAAUGCGCAGAUAUCAGGAGGAACACCGGUGGCGAAGGCGGGUCUCUGGGCCGAUACUGACGCUGAGGAGCGAAAGCGUGGGGAGCGAACAGG